rnacentral:rRNA from 1 species
ACCUUACCACCUUUUGACAUGCCUGGACCGCCAGAGAGAUCUGGCUUUCCCUUCGAGGACUAGGACACAGGUGCUGCAUGCCUGUCGUCAGCUCGUGUCGAGAGAUGUUGCGUUAAGUCCCGCAACGAGCGCAACCCUCGCCAUUAGUUGCCAUCAUUUAGUUGGGAACUCUAAUGGGACUGCCGGUGCUAAGCCGGAGGAAGGUGGGGAUGACGUCAAGUCCUCAUGGCCCUUACAGGGUGGGCUACACACGUGCUACAAUGGCGACUACAGAGGGUUAAUCCUUAAAAGUCGUCUCAGAUCGGAUUGUCCUCUGCAACUCGAGGGCAUGAAGUUGGAAUCGCUAGUAAUCGCGGAUCAGCAUGCCGCGGUGAAUACGUUCCCGGGCCUUGUACACACCGCCCGUCACACCAUGGGAGUUGGAUCUACCCGAAGGCGAUGCGCUAACCCGCAAGUUAGGCAGUCGACCACGGUAGGGUCAGCGACUGGGGGGAAGUCGUAACA